GGACGGAGGAGCCUGGUGGGCUGCCGCCUAUGGGGUCGCACAGAGUCGGACACGACUGAAGCAACUUAACAGCAGCAGUAUACUACAGAGAACUCUGCUCAAUACUUUGUAAUGACCUCUACGGAAAUAUAAUCUAAAAAAGCGUGGAUAUAUGUGUAAAUGACUUAGUUUGCUGUACAUCUGAAAGUUAACACAAUAUGGCAUAUCAACUAUGCUCCAAUAAAAUUAAAGGAAAAAAUCAAAAUAAACAAACAAACCAAAAAAAAAAAACCCAAAUAAGUAGAAGAAGGAGCAUCUAAACCCCGGAAGGCUGACCCAGCUGCGAUUGAUCUGCAAUCCAUCCACAGGGUCUAUAGUUACAGGCCCUACGCUGAGCCCGCCUGGCCCCCUAACCGCCCCCCACCCCUCGCACCUCUGGUCCUUGUGGUCUCUGCUGCCCAGGGAGCUCAGAGCCCUUUGGCCAUCCUGUCUCCAGCCCUGUGUCCUCCUCGCUGCUCUUGGAACCUGGGCCAUCGCUGAGGGCAGGGAUGGGCAGGGAUUGAACCUAAUUCUGGCCCUUCAUCCCCCAUCCCACGUGCCUGCUUUUUAAAAACUUACUGUUGUCGAGAAAUUCCAUAGAAUUUUUUUUUUCCAUAGAAAAUUUUGAAGGACAAGAUGAGCAUGUGUUGGGAAGGGACUGACAGAACUUGGCAAAUAGAAGACAAUUACUUACUGUAAAUUUACUUAAAUUAACUUACUGUAAAUCGUGUCUUAACAUUUUUGUGUAAUUACAUACUUCUCUGUGGUCCAAACUGCUCAAGAGUCAGUUUUAAAACACAACCCUGACCGGAGUAACUAAAUUCUCUCUCUCUCCCUCCCUUUCUUUCUCUCUUUGUCUGUCUGUCUCUCCCCCUCUGGAAGGCUGGGCCUCUCCGAGAAAAGGCCCGAGACCAGAGGCUGGCCACCUUCCUAACAGGCGACACAGUACCCAUCAUGAGGAUGUUCGGAGCAAUGCAGAACUUUGAGCCUUUUUCCUCCUAGCCUCAGGGAUGUCAUCUGUAAACUGGGACUAGUGGAGGCUGUCCCUCUCAGAGGGGCUGUCAGAGUUCAGGGACUGAUGGGAGGAAGUCCAUGCUUUUCAGGGACCUCAGCUUGAGCGGGGCAAGGGGAGUGGGUGGGGAAGAGACUGUGGUUGGCCGGAGCCUGGGGCUUCGUGCUCCCUCAAGGGUCUCACAAGCAUAUGGGGAGGCAGACGGACAAGGUGAUCAUGGUUCACGAGUUGUCUACUAGGAGCUACUCACGGAAGGGAAAGACAGAAAGCCUUCCUGGAGGAGGUGUCUCUGAAUUGAGGGUGGCAGGGAGGAAGCUGGAAGGAAGCGAGGUCAGAGCUAGGAGUGUCUGGCCCCUCCACUGGCUGUUCAGGACUCAGUAGUUCAGGUUCUGCCAUGUGCCAGGCCUGGGGCUGGUACUGGGGACAUCGUUUAGGGUGGGAGACACAUGCUAAUUGCAAUGGUGAUGGUUUCCAUGAAGAAGAGAUUUGGGGGUGUUAGAGGGCUUACCGGGCCUGGGUGUUGGAGGAAGCGUCCCUUGGGUGGGCUCUGAGAUCAGCAGGCGCCGUCCAGUGCUGGGUAGCAGAGGGGGCCUCUGGGCAGAGAGGAGUGUGUGAAGCUUGGAGCCGGAGGGAGCAGGGCCCCGUGAGAAGCCGACGUGGCCGAGGCCCAUGAGCUGGACGAGGCCCGGGUGCUCCGUCCACACAGAGCCUUGAAUGACAAAGGGGCAUUUGGCUUUAAAUUAGGACCCCUUGAAAGGUACUAAAGUGGGGUGGAGGGCAGGCUGGAGCAGGGGCAGUGGGGGCAAGGGGCAAGGGAGGGGGACACAUAUCUGGUGGAUGCAGGAAAAAGGGGCUUGCUGGGGUGGGGACGGGAGGUGGGCACCGCUCAAUUCCCUGAGUCCUCUAGCAGCACCGCGCUGGAGGGUGGGCUGGGACUGGAGUGGAGUUUGAAUUCAUUGUUAUUUUGACCUUGUGGUCAAGGCUGUUCUGUUUGUUAAACGAAUGUGAACAAUCCCCCUGGCUGGGCUCCUGACUUGGGCUCAGGCGGGGACGCCGCCCACACAUGCACACCCACCAGGCCUGGGGCUGGGCCUGGCUGUGUCCUCGGCCCCACCAGCUCUCCUAGCAUCCAGGUGGGGAGCUGGUGGUAGAAACGGCCCCCAAGAGCGAUUCCUGGCCAGUGACCUUGGGCGCCCUGGCUGUGGACUCGAGUUCUGCCUGUUCCCUGAUCCACUCAUGUUCUUAGGGAGCCCAGCCUCCCUUCCCCACCCAAGGCUCUGACCUGCUGGAACCUCUGCUGAGUGGGCCUUCACCUCAACUGGGAGCUGACUUUGCUCCCCUACCAGCGACCCAGUGGACAGUGGGGCCUGGGGCCUCCUAGUGGGCCCAGCCUCUGGGCAGGGGUUAGAGGGGGUGCUGGGCAGGGCUGACUGUGUUGCCCCAGGUCUUGGGUGAGUUUGCCCCCGCUGAGCCCUGUUGUGAGCAGGGCUAAGGCAUGGGCUGUCAUCCAGCUUUCUUUGCUUGCUCAGGGAGUCACAUCUCCUUGGGCCUCACUUUUCCCAUCUGAAAAAUGGGUACAGCACCAAGUUAGCUGGGUUGUUGGGUUUAGGGAGGGUGAAUGACUGCACAGUUGGCCUUGGACACUCCUUGUUCUGACCCUGGAGUUGAGCAGCCUGGUGGUCUGGUCCAGCUCUGGGGAGAGGCUUUUCCAGGCUCGGGGGGCUUCUGGCCUUUCUUAGGGAGGCUCCCUCUGCCAGGAGCUGAGCUCACAGGGCGGGCCGGGCCUCGGGGGCCACACGUUCGCUGUCCUCUCUUUCCUGGGAGCCGGCCCAGAGACAAGGGGCAGGGCGUCUGGUUCUCAUCGGGCGGCCAUCUCUAAUUCCUUUGGCAUCUGAGCUGCUUUUCAGAAGGAGGAAGAUGCACUUAACUGAUUGUGACCCAGUGUGGUGCUGAGGAAGCACUGGGCUUCCAGCAAACAAAGCUGGAUCCAGGGCCUAACUGGGCCACUCACUGGAGCGUAGUCUGGGUGAGCGAGGUGUUCACUGCCUCUCUGUAUCAAGGGCCCCAUUUGGAAAAUGGGAAUAAUGAUUUCUGCCCUGUCUGUUCUCUAAAGUAGAGAAAGAUGGGAACGUGCUUUGUAACCUGCAAAAAGAAGACACUUUCCCUUUGUGCUGGCGUCAUCGUGGAUGGGGUCCUGCCCAAGGACCUUGCCCCACAUGGGGGUAGCCAGGCCUGUUGGCCAAGCCCUGAAGUCUGCAUGUCCAUAUGGGUAAAGCAACUUCGUGGUCCAUGGGAUGGAGGCCCAUGUUAGAUCUCUGGCUGGGGACCCUGAGAGUGGCAGGGGCUCAGAAAAGGAAGAGUUCGCUCUGGUUGGUGUGGCCUGGGGACAAAACAACACACUAAUGAGAGCUAACGCUUCGUCCGCACUCACUAUGUGCCCGACACACUUCUAAGAAUUUUCUGUGUCUUGACUGAUCCUCACAACUCCCUUCUGAGAGAGGUUCCCAUUACUCCCCCUGCCAACCCUUCAGAGGUGGAAAGGCAUUACGGGAGAGGGCAUGGGGUGUGCAGAGGCCUGGGGAGCCCCUCGCUUAGGGGUGCAGCGGGAGGAGCUGGCCCAGGGCUUGGGGGUCUCACGCGGCAGCAGCGGGAACCCUCGGAGGUUCUUGGGGGACCUAACCUUGAGGGUGGGCAGGAUGGGCUCCUGGGAGGACUGGCCGUCGGGCUUCCUCAUUCCUCUGUCUUCAAACUUGAGCACAGGCCCAGCUGCCACCCAGGUGGCCCUCCGGGAAUCCUCGACUCCGAGAAGCGCCGAGGAGCUGGGCGGUGUCGGUGCGGAGGGCCGAGGUCUCAGAGCUGGGUGGGCUAGUUUGGGGGCCAAGGGGACUGCGGGCGCCAGGCCGCACCCCAUCCUGGGAAGCGGACUCCCAGAAGGGCAGGGCAGCCCGCCUGCUGAGUUUUAGAGCAGCCAGGGACAUUCUUCCUGCUCUGGGCCAUCCUGCUGUGCAGCGUGAUCAGGGGACUGGCCCAGCUGGGGCAGGGGUGAUCGCACCAUGGCCCCAGCGACCAGAGAGAGGAAACAGCCCUGGACCCUUUCCUCUCAAAGACAAUGAAACCCUUUCCCAGGGAGGCCACCCUGGAGCAGCACGGUGGCAGGCCCUGGUCUGAGACCUGGUGUGCAAGCAGGCAGGCGCAUCCCUUCCCAGGACUGCCGUGGUUCACUGCUGAGCAAGGCCUUGGGGCUGGGACUGGGGAGCUUGCGGGGGAGAGUUGACUGUGCAGGGUGACCCACCCUGCAUCCUGACCAUUUCUGCUUGAGCCUCCAUCACCGACAAACAGGCAGGAAUUUCCAACAAAGACAGGGAUGGGGUGGGAAAAGGGCCUGGAGGGGCAGUGGUGGAGUUUUGAGUCAUGAGGCAUCCAGGGUGUGAUGUCUGUGCAAGAGACAGAGAUAAGAUGCGCAGAGAUGGCUGGGGUGAUUGGGAAGCACGAGGCAGACAGGCCGGAUCCGGGAAACAGUCCUGGAUUUGCUGUGAGAUUGGCAUCCGCCUAUGCCAAUUUGUAAAUACUUUUGGAAAUGCCCUUUUCCCAGGAGGCACUUGGCGAAACCUCUUGCUUACUGUGUGGCCAGCCAGCCGUAGGAGAGGUUGAAGGUGAGUGGAGCUGGGAAGGCAGUGAGUGACCCCGGGGAGAGGUGACGAGGAGGCCCAGCAGGAAGGGCGGUUUGAGGUCUUUCCUGGACAGUGCACAAGGCGAACCCGCUCCCCACCUGCUCGUCCCACUCUAGCUCGGGCCUUGCCAAGCUUCUGGGUGAGGCCGUGUGCUCUGGCACAACCCAUGUUUCCCUUUCCAAACCUUAAGCCCGGUGCUGUUCCCACAGCCCAGCUCGGCAGGCUUGUGCUGUGAAACCAGAGGAGGCAGCUUGAUUGGCUGGGCAGGCGCGGUGCUGCGGGGCCCUGGCCUGACCACCCAACAGGUCAGAGCCGUUAAAGCAGGGCAGGACCCGAGAGGGGGGAUUGAGAUGCAUGAUCGCUCACCCAUCCCCGCAAGGUCGAGGAUCUGCACAAACCUGUUGUCGGUGACGUUUCUCUUGAGAACAUUGGAGAAAUCUGAAUGUUGACCAAGUGUUACAAAAGGUGAAACUUGACUGACAUGGAAAGCUGGAUUGUUAACUGAAAAAAGUUUAAAAAUG